rnacentral:rRNA from 1 species
UACGUAGGGCGCAAGCGUUGUCCGGAAUUAUUGGGCGUAAAGAGCUCGUAGGUGGCUUGUCGCGUCUGCCGUGAAAGCCCAUGGCUUAACUGUGGGUCUGCGGUGGAUACGGGCAGGCUGGAGGCUGGUAGGGGCAAGCGGAAUUCCUGGUGUAGCGGUGAAAUGCGCAGAUAUCAGGAGGAACACCGGUGGCGAAGGCGGCUUGCUGGGCCAGUUCUGACGCUGAGGCGCGAAAGCGUGGGGAGCGAACAGG